rnacentral:tRNA from 1 species
UCGGGGAUCGUCUAACGGUAGGACUCGAGAUUCUGGUUCUCGCUAUCUAGGUUCGAAUCCUAGUCCCCGAG